UGGGGAAUAUUGCACAAUGGGCGCAAGCCUGAUGCAGCCAUGCCGCGUGAAGGAUGACUGCCCUAUGGGUUGUAAACUUCUUUUAUAUGGGAAUAAAGUUUUCCACGUGUGGAAUUUUGUAUGUACCAUAUGAAUAAGGAUCGGCUAACUCCGUGCCAGCAGCCGCGGUAAUACGGAGGAUCCGAGCGUUAUCCGGAUUUAUUGGGUUUAAAGGGAGCGUAGGUGGACAGUUAAGUCAGUUGUGAAAGUUUGCGGCUCAACCGUAAAAUUGCAGUUGAUACUGGCUGUCUUGAGUACAGUAGAGGUGGGCGGAAUUCGUGGUGUAGCGGUGAAAUGCUUAGAUAUCACGAAGAACUCCGAUUGCGAAGGCAGCUCACUGGACUGCAACUGACACUGAUGCUCGAAAGUGUGGGUAUCAAACAGG
rnacentral:rRNA from 1 species